AUUGAACGCUGGCGGCAUGCCUUACACAUGCAAGUCGAACGGCAGCACGGGUGCUUGCACCUGGUGGCGAGUGGCGAACGGGUGAGUAAUACAUCGGAACAUGUCCUGUAGUGGGGGAUAGCCCGGCGAAAGCCGGAUUAAUACCGCAUACGAUCUACGGAUGACAGCGGGGGACCUUCGGGCCUCGCGCUAUAGGGUUGGCCGAUGGCUGAUUAGCUAGUUGGUGGGGUAAAGGCCUACCAAGGCGACGAUCAGUAGCUGGUCUGAGAGGACGACCAGCGACACUGGGACUGAGACACGGCCCAGACUCCUACGGGAGGCAGCAGUGGGGAAUUUUGGACAAUGGGCGAAAGCCUGAUCCAGCAAUGCCGCGUGUGUGAAGAAGGCCUUCGGGUUGUAAAGCACUUUUGUCCGGAAAGAAAUCCUUGGCCCUAAUACGGUCGGGGGAUGACGGUACCGGAAGAAUAAGCACCGGCUAACUACGUG
rnacentral:rRNA from 1 species